CUGUUUGUCCAUCUGUCCAAUUACCUGUGAGUCUAUCUAUGCAUCUUCUUGUCCAUUCAUCUGCCCACCCAUCUGUCCCUCCAUCUGCCCACCGGCCUCCCCUCUCCUUCUGGGCCGCAGAGCCAUGGCCCAGGACUACGGAGCCAUGGGUGACCUGGUCCUGCUGGGGCUGGGGCUGGGGCUGGCGCUGGCUGUCAUUGUGCUGGCUGUGGUCCUCUCUCGACACCAGGCCCCAUUUGACCCCCGGCCUUUGCCCACGCCGCUGUUGCUGCUGACUCCAAGGUCUUCUCAAAUAUUGUACGGCAGGAAACUGCAUAUCUUCUGGUUUACAUGAAGAUGGAGUGCUAAUGGAAAUGCC
ensembl:lncRNA FAM247B family with sequence similarity 247 member B